rnacentral:rRNA from 1 species
AGCAGCCGCGGUAAUUCCAGCUCCAAUAGCGUAUAUUAAAGUUGUUGCAGUUAAAAAGCUCGUAGUUGAAUUUCGGGGUCAGUAGGUUGGUCGUGCCACUGGUAUGUACUGGUCUCACUGAUUCCUCCUUCCUGAUGAACCGUAAUGCCAUUAAUUUGGUGUUGCGGGGAAUCUGGACUGUUACUUUGAAAAAAUUAGAGUGUUUAAAGCAGGCUAACGCUUGAAUACAUUAGCAUGGAAUAAUGAAAUAGGACGAUCGAUCCUAUUUUGUUGGUUUCUAGGAUUGACGUAAUGAUUAAUAGGGAUAGUUGGGGGCAUUAGUAUUCAAUUGUCAGAGGUGAAAUUCUUGGAUUUAUUGAAGACUAACUACUGCGAAAGCAUUUGCCAAGGAUGUUUUCAUUAAUCAAGAACGAAAGUUAGGGGAUCGAAGACGAUCAGAUACCGUCGUAGUCUUAACCAUAAACUAUGCCGACUAGGGAUCGGGUGAUGUUAAUUUUUUAAUGUACUCAUUCGGCGCCUU